rnacentral:rRNA from 1 species
UUCCGGUUGAUCCCGCCGGACCUGACUGCUAUCGGAUUAAUACUAAGCCAUGCGAGUUUUUGUAGUAAUACAAGGCAUACGGCUCAGUAACACGUAGUCAACCUACCCUAUGGACGAGGAUAAUCUCGGGAAACUGAGCAUAAUACUCGAUAGAUCAUAAUGCCUGGAAUGGUUUAUGGUUGAAAUGAUUCGUUCGCCAUAGGAUGGGACUGCGGCCUAUCAGCUUGUUGGUGGGGUAAUGGCCCACCAAGGCGAUUACAGGUACGGGCUCUGAGAGGAGAAGCCCGGAGAUGGGUACUGAGACACGGACCCAGGCCCUAUGGGGCGCAGCAGGCGAGAAAACUUUGCAAUGUGCGAAAGCACGACAAGGUUAGUCCGAGUGAUUUCUGCUAAAGAAAUCUUUUGCAAGUCGUAAAACCACUAGUGAAUAAGGGGUGGGCAAGUUCUGGUGUCAGCCGCCGCGGUAAAACCAGCACCUCAAGUGGUCAGGAGGAUUAUUGGGCCUAAAGCAUCCGUAGCCGGCUCUGUUAGUUUUCGGUUAAAUCCAUGCGCUCAACGUAUGGGCUGCCGAGAAUACUGCAUAGCUAGGGAGUGGGAGAGGUAGACGGUACUCGGUAGGAAGGGGUAAAAUCCUUUGAUCUAUCGAUGACCACCUGUGGCGAAGGCGGUCUACCAGAACACGUUCGACGGUGAGGGAUGAAAGCUGGGGGAGCAAACCGGAUUAGAUACCCGGGUAGUCCCAGCUGUAGACGAUGCAGACUCGAUGA